UGGACCGCGAUCUGGGCGGCGAUCUUGUUGUCGAUCGUAAGAUGGAUCCUGUCGCUGUCGGCGACCACAGGCAUCAUUCCCGCCACGGAUACUGAGAGACGAAAGCUAGGGGAGCGAAUGGGAUUAGAUACCCCAGUAGUCCUAGCCGUAAACGAUGGAUACUAGGCGCUGUGCGUAUCGACCCGUGCAAUGCUGUAGCCAGCUGUUGAAGGAUCCCGGCGUGGGGGCACGUUUGCUGGAGAUAUUCUCAAGACAAGCGA
rnacentral:rRNA from 1 species